CAAGGAAGGAGCUUCGCAGAGCUGGCAAGAGCUGAGCCAGCGGGGCAGGGGCAGUGCCCUGAAAGAGCAGGACCUGCAGGCAGCAGUGGGGCCCUCAGCAGCGCCGUGUGCGGCCGGCAGGAGGGGCUCCCCACUGGGCUCCAGGAUGCCCUACGAGAGGCUGCAGCCAGCAGGAGAGGCUCCCCCAGCUCCAGGAAGGAUCUGAACAGUGACCUGAGGGGUUCCCAGCUCUGCUUCCAGCUCCUCCAAUCAGAAGCUGGGCAGGUUUUCACACCUCUGGCUCUCAGGCUAUAAGCCUCUAUCAGAUGAUCUAAGAGUCUCCAUUAGUAGUAUAGUGAGACCAAAGUUAACCAGAGGAGCAGCCAUUCAUUUAAACACACACGGGCAGCCUACUUCAAGUGCAAUCCUCCUCUGCUCUUGUACGCAUUUCCGCAUGUUAAGUAUCGUCUGGACCCACCAUUCAGCAAUGACAUAAGCUUAUCUGGAUGUACAAGUUUCCUGAAAAAUUCCAUGUGCCAGUGUAAAUAUAACAACAGAGCAAGAAUGGCUUAUGAAAUGUCAUCUCUUUGUACCUUCCAGGCUAUAUUAUGUGCGGCUUUUAUUUUUAAGGUUACACAGAAAAUGUCCCUCCUCUUUUCAUGAGAGGUAUAAGGCAAAGGAGAAUGUGAUAAUUUUGUCAGACUGGGAGUAAAUGGACAGAUAAAAGAGAGCUGUUAGCCCAGUGGUCCUUAACCACUACUGACUCGAGACACCCCUUGGAAA
rnacentral:lncRNA from 1 species